AUAUAAUUUUGUUAUUAAGUCUCAAUAAAAUUUAAAAGGAAACUGUGUAAUUAUGUCAUAAACUAAAAUGUAUUGUUGAUAAUAGAAACAUUUUAAUAUAUACAUCGUUUGUAAGUUCGUUACUUUUCCCCGCUCCUCCUUCUGCUCCUCAACGCACACUUUGGAUCUUUGUGUGGCA